AUAACACACACUACAACAUAAGGCAUCUAUAGCUAUAAAAUACGUUGUAGCUAAAUAUGAAAUUUUUUGUGGCUAAACACUUUAGUCACAAUAUUUUUUUCCGUAGCAUCCGUAGCAAAAUGUAGCGUAGCUAAAGGUUAGCUACAGACUUUUGGUGAUCCGUGGCUAAGGAGUAAUACUUAUUGCUACGAAUUAUUUUGCGUUGUAGCUCAAAUAAUUUUAUUCUUUUGCCACGACAAAUAAAACUUGUAGCAAUCUUUAUAUUGUAGCUACAGUGUGUUCUUUUGUGGCAAAAAGUUUAAGCUAUUUGCCAUGAAAAUACAAAUUUGGUGGCUA